rnacentral:tmRNA from 1 species
GGGGAUGUCAUGGUUUCGACAGGAGUAUGCUUGAUUUGGAAGGCAGUGGGUGAUUACCUACAAUCAAACAAAAAUAACUGGAAACAGAAAUUAUAACAACGCGGUGGCUUUCGCUGCCUAAAAGAGUCUAAAAAAGACUUGCGCGCGACUAAUUGAUUUGUCAUUGGUUGGUUAAAUCGCGUCAAACACAAUGACUACACUUAGUUUAAUCUAGGAAACUUCGUGGACAACUUAACUAGAUAAACCACCAGUACAUCUUGUCUGUCAGUAUGCUGUUGGUAAUAUGACAGAAUAAACUGUAGGCUUCCAAAUGAGAGGCGAUUUCUGGACGCGGGUUCGACUCCCGCCAUCUCCACCA